GACGAACGCUGGCGGCGUGCUUAACACAUGCAAGUCGAACGGAAAGGCCCUGCUUGCAGGGUACUCGAGUGGCGAACGGGUGAGUAACACGUGGGUGAUCUGCCCUGCACUUCGGGAUAAGCCUGGGAAACUGGGUCUAAUACCGGAUAGGAGCCAUUUUUAGUGUGAUGGUUGGAAAGUUUUUUCGGUGUAGGAUGAGCUGGCGGCCUAUCAGCUUGUUGGUGGGGUAAUGGCCUACCAAGGCGGCGACGGGUAGCCGGCCUGAGAGGGUGGACGGCCACAUUGGGACUGAGGUAAGGCACAAGCAGCGAAGGGAGGGAGCAGUGGGGAAUAUUGCACAAUGGGCGCAAGGCUGAUGCAGCGGGGCCGCGGGGGGGAUGACGGCCUUAGGGUUGUAAAAUCCUUUCGCUAGGGACGAAGCAUUUUGUGACGGUACCUAGAUAAGAAGCACCGGCUAACUACGUG
rnacentral:rRNA from 1 species